UAUUUAGCUACUUACGAAUAAAUUCAAUACAUGUGUCUGUUUGUAAUAAGUAUUAUAAUUACCACAUGUGAAUGGUUUUAAUUUUUGUGUGAGUGUUUGGGUCACGGUAGUUAUUUUUUCAAAAUGGCUGAAUCCUUAUUGUCCUGACUGACACAAAGAAAAUCAAGAACUCUAACAAAGGGGCGUCUCGGAGUUUGUGACUCAACAAAGGUAUAACAACCACAUCAGGAGGCCAAUUAGGCCAACAAGAAGGUUUAAAAGGAGAGUACCAACAAAUCUUCUCUGACCUUUAGAGGAAGAGAUGUCACUGUCAUGGGCUCACAGAAAAUCCGCAUAAGUAACAAAUUUUGCAAAAUGUCCGUACUCAUAGAUUGCAAUAGAAAUGGAG